GAUGAACGCUGGCGGCAUGCCUUACACAUGCAAGUCGAACGGCAGCGGGGGAGAAGCUUGCUUUUCCUGCCGGCGAGUGGCGAACGGGUGAGUAAUACAUCGGAACGUGCCCUGUAGUGGGGGAUAACUAGUCGAAAGAUUAGCUAAUACCGCAUACGACCUGAGGGUGAAAGUGGGGGACCGCAAGGCCUCAUGCUAUAGGAGCGGCCGAUGUCUGAUUAGCUAGUUGGUGGGGUAAAGGCCUACCAAGGCGACGAUCAGUAGCUGGUCUGAGAGGACGAUCAGCCACACUGGGACUGGGACACGGCCCAGACUCCUACGGGAGGCAGCAGUGGGGAAUUUUGGACAAUGGGCGAAAGCCUGAUCCAGCAAUGCCGCGUGUGUGAAGAAGGCCUUCGGGUUGUAAAGCACUUUUGUCCGGAAAGAAAUGGCUCUGGUUAAUACCUGGGGUCGAUGACGGUACCGGAAGAAUAAGGACCGGCUAACUACGUGCCAGCCGCCGCCGUAACAC
rnacentral:rRNA from 1 species